rnacentral:rRNA from 1 species
UGGCUGUCGUCAGCUCGUGUCGUGAGAUGUUGGGUUAAGUCCCGCAACGAGCGCAACCCUUGUCGUUAGUUACUACCAUUAAGUUGAGGACUCUAGCGAGACUGCCUGGGUUAACCAGGAGGAAGGUGGGGAUGACGUCAAAUCAUCAUGCCCCUUAUGUGUAGGGCUACACACGUGCUACAAUGGCUGGUACAGAGAGAUGCAAUACCGCGAGGUGGAGCCAAACUUAAAAACCAGUCUCAGUUCGGAUUGUAGGCUGAAACUCGCCUACAUGAAGCUGGAGUUACUAGUAAUCGCGAAUCAGAAUGUCGCGGUGAAUA